UACGAAGGGUGCAAGCGUUACUCGGAAUUACUGGGCGUAAAGCGUGCGUAGGCGGUUCGUUAAGUCUGUCGUGAAAGCCCUGGGCUCAACCUGGGAAUUGCGAUGGAUACUGGCGAGCUAGAGUACGGUAGAGGAUGGUGGAAUUCCCGGUGUAGCGGUGAAAUGCGUAGAGAUCGGGAGGAACACCCGUGGCGAAGGCGGCCAUCUGGACCAGUACUGACGCUGAGGCACGAGAGCGUGGGGAGCAAACAGG
rnacentral:rRNA from 1 species